UACGUAGGGCGCAAGCGUUGUCCGGAAUUAUUGGGCGUAAAGAGCUCGUAGGCGGUUUUGUCGCGUCUGUCGUGAAAGCCCACGGCUUAACUGUGGGUCUGCGGUGGAUACGGGCAGACUAGAGGCAGGUAGGGGGAGAAUGGAAUUCCCGGUGUAGCGGUGAAAAUGCGCAGAUAUCGGGAGGAACACCGGUGGCGAAGGCGGUUCUCUGGGCCUGUACUGACGCUGAGGAGCGAAAGUGUGGGGGGAGCGAAACAGG
rnacentral:rRNA from 1 species